GCUCUUCCCGAGAGGUUCAAAACUCCAUCAAUUCUUUGAAUGGUGCAGUAGUAUCAUCAUUUCUCUUCUUCGCAUAACAAUUUAUUCGAUUAGUACUUCUUACAGUAAAUGAUCAAACAUCUAACACAUGUUUUACUUUCGUAAUUAAAGGAUUUGGAUGGUAGGCAGUCUCAGAGGCUGAGGCUAGGCCACCAAGAGGCCAAUUUUGAGCGGCCACACCUCUUCACGUUCUCAUAAAAAAUGCAGAUUCUGAAGGGUAAGACUCUCAAUCCUCAGCCAAGUUCGAGCAUUUCCUAUAUGAUUCAUAAUUGUCAAGUAACAAACGACUAAGUAUGUUGAAUCUUGAAUGUAACAGUUUCUGUGAGCCUUUGAGGCAUAUGGGGUUAAUGGACAAUGGCGGUUUCAGAGAGUAACUAAAACUUACUGCUGGUGCACGCUAGGCUUUAUCCGCCUGAGAUGUAUGAAGACAUAAAGGAAUGGUCUUUUCUAGAAAGAUAAUGAUUGCGUUAAAGCAGAGACAUGUGUUUCUCCAAAAUCCUGCUUAUUCACUGAGCAUCUUGAGGAGGACGUAAACAAGACCAAGAACAUGGCCCCAUGGUGUUGUUAUUCUCUAAGGAAACUAACUUUAGUACUAGUAUUAAUGUAAACACAACGCAUAAGAACCUCUUUGAUUUCAUUGAUUAUAAUUCCAAUCACUCGUUUAAAAGCGAAAGAAAAAACAAUUACACCGAAGGAAAAUUCACAAAAGAGCAAGUGGAAAACACAAAUAUAAGAAAGGGAAAUGAAAACUGCAAGUGACUGAUUUAGAUUUGUACAGAGAGAUCACAACUUCAUUUAUUCUUGAGAAAUCUGGUUUGAUGUGUUUAGACGUUGGCAGCACUUCUGAAUGAUCCAAGAGACUUAGAACCUGAAGCUCUCAGAACGAAUUGGUGGUAGAAUGCAGCUAUCGCAGCUCCAAUGAAUGGUCCAACCCAAAAUAUCCACUGUUUGUAAUCACCAAAAUUUCAAAACAUUAUUCCCUUGUAAAAAUGAAAAAUAUAGUUGAAUGUAAUGGAGAAACGUUGAGGUCUUACGUGGUCAUCCCAUGGCUUGCUCUUGUUGUAGAUUACGGCAGCUCCGAAACUCCUUGCCGGGUUAAUUCCGGUUCCGGUAAUGGGAAUGGUAGCCAAAUGUACCAUGAACACGGCAAAUCCGAUUGGAAGUGGCGCCAACACCUUUUAUUUCAUCAAAAUUCAAAUUUAUUAGUAUGAUUGAAAUCAAAUGUUGGUUUGGUUUGCUUUGGUUCCGGUUUUGAGUCGGUUAACCAUAUUGAAGAUUAAUAGCACUACAUAUGUGACUCACCGGAACGUGGGAGUCUCUGGCACUACGUUUGGGGUCAGUGGCAGAGAAGACGGUGUAGACAAGAACGAAAGUACCAAUGAUCUCUGCGGCUAGACCGGUCCCUGUGCUGUAGCCAUCGGCUAGAGAGUUGGCUCCACCUCCGUAACGGGUGUAGUAAGAGCUUUGGAAGGCUUUGACAAAACCAACUCCACAAAUCGCACCCAAACACUGAGCGAUUAUGUACAAUAGGGCCCUAGGUAACGACACUUUACGUGCCAAGAAUAGCCCAAAUGUCACCGCUGGGUUAAUGUGACCACCUAAGGAAACAAAAAGAGUUGACAAUGUUACCAGUACUUGAGAAUUAAGGUACAACAAGCAAUUAAUUAACCGGUUUCAAUUCUGGUUAAGACAGGGUUAGUCAGUUGCUUAAAAUAAUUACUAGGCUUAGAUUAGAUAUAUAUCAUUCGGAUAAGAACCGAUUUGAUCAUGACCCUUAUUAAAUGUUUUAUAAACAAAUCAUUUUCGUCUUUUAAACCUAAGAUUUUAAACCGAUUAAAUAGUAAUGUCAACCAAGCAAUAUUUUUCCUUGCAAAAUAAUUAAUUUCGAAUAAACAAACCAAAACCAUACCAUAUAAUUUUUACUUGUCUAAAUUUUGAGUUUGCAAGUUGUACUUACAUAAGUAAAACUUAUUCAGCUUAUUCGGUUUAAUUGUAAUUCUAAUACUCAAAAAGUGUAUAAUCUUAAUCUAAACCAAACCAAAAUCAAGAUUAAAGAAGGAUCAUACCAGAGAUACCGGCGGUGCAGUAGACGAGGAUGAAGAUCAUACCACCAAAGGCCCAAGCGAUACCGAGGAUUCCAACUCCGCCGCAAUCUACGCCACCGGCAUCAGUAUCGGACUGAAUCUUGUAACCGAUGACUGUCAAAACGGUGAUGUAUAAGAAGAGGAGAGUGGCUACGAACUCUGCGAUAACUGCUCUGUAGAAAGACCACUUCUUUAGCUCCGCUCCAUCAAUAAACGGAGCUGGUGGCGGAUCUUGAUAGUCUCUUGUCUGAAAUCCUUCUCCGGGAACGGCUUCCACAUCCUUUGCCAUAGUUAACUUCUUCUUCUUUCAAACAAUAGCUUUUUUUUCUUUUGCUUCUCUGUUGGAGUGGUUAGUGAGAAGAACAUGUGCUCUGUUUUAUAGUGAGAGCUCUCCUUCUUGUUAAUUUGUUUGUAUACUUUUUUAUUGCUUUAUCUUUUAAAAAAUAUUUUUAGUAUUUUUGCCAACGUUAUAUGUUUUUUUGGUUUUUUGUGUAUUGAGGUUUUUUUUUGGAAUGAAAGUUUGUAUUUUCAAUGAAAAAAUUGGAUAUAAAAGUAUACGAGUGAGUUAUGAUUAUUAUUAUUAUGAGGGAAGUAGCUUUGACAAAAUGAUUAUGAACUAGCUGUCCUGAAAUAAAUUUUGAACCAAUUCUAUUUAAUGAUUGCUUGAUAUAUCAAUAUCAUACAUAGUUACUAAUACGUAAAGACAAGAACCCUAGUUUAAUUUCAGACUUAGAGUUUUUCAAUCGUUGAAAUUUGAAAAAUUCAAAUAAGUUAGCCAGUAAAUUUCUUUAAAAUUUGAUUCGAGUUUAUUUUAGAUCCUAAAUUAGAAUAGUUUAUUCUAUUUAACGUUAUAGUUUGCACCAAGUCCAUGACAAAAAGAUUGAUCCAAAUCUAUUGAACAUGCGUCUAUAAAUACAUGAUAAUGAUAUGGGAUUAGCUAGCUUAUGAUAUCAUAAAACAAGACUUUAUAUCCACUCAUAUAAACUUGCAUAGUUUUAUCUCUCGUAGCAAUAGGAAGUAUCAAUCAGUGGUGAUGGUGGAGAGCUAUCAGAACCACAACUUUGAAAUAAUUUAUUAGUUUUUAUGUCAAUCAAAUUUUUAUAUGUUUUUCUGGUAAAUAAUGGAGGUUUUUUUUGUUUACUUUAACUUAGCCUCGCCGCCCCCAUCACCUAAAUGUCAUUUUCUUUAGGACCGACCCAAUAUACUAUAUCAUCAAUAUGGUGCUCUCUUCUUUUUGUCGUAUAAUAUCAUAGCCUGUCGAUUUUUCAGAUUUAAAAAGCCACAGUUUUUGUAUGCCAAAUCAUUUUAAAAUAACUUACGUCCACUUUUUUUUUUUAUCGAAUCAGCAUUUACAUUCUUGAAAACACAUAACAAAACUCCAAAACCUUAUUUUGCUCCAACGAAGCAUGGCUAAGUUUCUUCACUCCAAAUCCAACUAAUCAUGCAUGGUUAUAUUCGAGUGUCUCAUUGUAUAUAUAGAGAACAUUUUUCUUGUUCACCAAAGUCAAAACACUUUGUUUUCAAAAUAGAUAGAUAUAUGGUCAUUCUCUUACAUUAUAAACAUUUUUGUAGUCUAGAAGGUCUAGUUUUCUAUCACCAACAUAUGUUAUUAAGUAUGUUUGAGGUGUCAUAAAACAAAACCCUACUUGAAGAUGUUAGAGCCGGAACUCAAAAUUAUGACACAAUAUUAAAGAAGCAUAAACUAUUUCGUUCACAAACUUUCAUUUCAAACUUAAUUGACGAUAAGUAAAUUGAUUCGUCGUAUAUCUUAUCACACAUAACUCAAAUUAGCAUUUAAGUUGAUAUUACUAACAUAAAGUAACCAAAGCCUAAACGAACCCUUUUUCAUAAUUGUUGUGUUGGUAUAUCACUCUCUAAAACCAGGGUGUAAAGUUAUGGUGCCGUUUUGUGGGGUGGGUCGAGAUUCCACUGAGGUUAAAAUCAUAUGGUCUGUGUUGGCAAAAGGUGACACGUGAAUGGGUGGCGCGCGUGACUAACCGACCCGAUCCCUCCGACAAACGUAUCGUCACCGUCCAAUCCAUCUCAGCAUAUAGCCGUUUGUUCGCUCAACCACUCACAUAAUGCCACGUUUGUUGUCCCCACCAAUCAUUUGCAUUUUCUCUUCAUAUCCAAAAUUUCAUAUCUUUUGCGAAAAUUGCUGACAAUUAGACUGAAAACGAAAAUAUAACAAAACAAUAAAUCCCAAUAAAAAUGACAAAUUGUGACAACCAAACAAAAGACAGGAGAUGCAGUUCCAUGGUUAUCGUUUUGCCAUGUGGCAAACCUUAUCGUUUUGGCUACGUUGGUCGGCUACUAUUAGACGAAUAUUCCACGUCAGCCAACUCUUUUUUCUCAUGUUUUUCGAAGUGAAUUUUAGAUAAUAAAAGCACAGAAAUGUGAAUUUUCUGGUUCUGGUUCUGUUGUUAAUUGUUAUUAGUAUGUUUAUUUAUAUAUUUUACACUUUCUUCUAUUCAUAGAAAACUAGUCUUAACCUUAUCUAAAUAUUCUAGACAAAUCGAGUUACAUAUAGUAUGACGUCGUUAUGCAUAAAUUUUGUCCUUUUUAGUCACUCCAAUUGAAAGAAUUAGUCCAGAAUGUACUACAGCAAGAUCAACAAACAUAUAUUGAUUUAUCUGUCUUCAUAAUUAAUAAUUUAAUAUGCAUUCAAAUGAUAAUCAAUUGGAUAUAUACUUUACAUGAUAUUUACAGAUCAAAAAUUUCUAUAUUGUAAUUUCCGAUUACUUAAAUGAGUAAAAUAUAAAAGUCAUAUGAAGUCCAAAUUUUAUUGUACCGGAAAGGACAAAUAAAUUCAUAUAAAGUCAUGUUCUAUUGAAUCUCUUCUAGUCCUCCAUAUUUCAAAUCUCUUCUAGUCCUCCAUACGUAUUUGAACUGCGGAUAUAAAGUAUGUUAGUUUUUUAUUUCACUAUGGUAGAUUUUUAAAACGUAAUUAAAACAGGUUUAACUAUGAGAACAUCGUAGAUCCGACCAAAAUUUAUCGCAUAGUUUGAAAAAAAAGAUAAGAUACUACUAUUAAGUAUAUAUAUUUUAUGUUUUGUUUUGUUUAAAUAAGGAGGUAGACAUUAUUAAUAGUUGUUUAGCACACGAACAAGAAGUUACUAGUAUAAUUUCUCAACGUUUAUUUUGUUGAUGGGGUGCUCGUUGGUCAAAUUUAGCGGCCUGACAAGCUCAGUCGACAGUAAUGUGCCUUUUUGGGUGUACACUGAUGUCUCACCUACAAUGUUUUUGGUCGAGUUACGUAUAAAAGCUCUUGUCCUAAUCAAUUUGUCUUGCAUACGUUUUUUACAGGAAUGCAUUCACUUAGUUAAUUAGCCUUUCCUUUUAGCCCAUCACCCAUAUGAUCUAUUUAGUGCAUUUUCUUUUUGUUUGAUCAUCGCUGGCAUGGCAACAAUAACAAAUAAAAUCAUCGGGAUAACUAAACGCUAAAAUUCUAUGCAACUUGAAAAUCUGAUUAAAAAAAUUAAAGCAAGAGUUAUUUUUCAUCACCAUCGUUUUGUCGUUAAAUAUGACAGAAAAUUUCGUUCUUGACGUAUCAUUUUCAUUUUAUUUUCACAAUGUCCAUUCUAUUUUUGUGUUGGACCAUUUUUCCAUGUGAACGAGUGGUUUCCAAAACAGUAUAUAAAAUUUCUAUGAUUGAUCUUAUACAAUUCGAUUGGAUUUUUUUUAUUUUUUUUUACCAAACACUAGCCAGCAAGAGAGCCCACAAGGCCCAAGAACCAUGAACCGUUGCCAAACUUAGCAAGUGCUCCAAAUUACUUUGAGCACUUGGCAGAAGUUACUUGAUAUCAGGCAAAAACCUUUCUUUUAGUAUUUUAGCACAAAGAAUCUUCAAGAAAUGAAGAGAGACGAGUAAUUAUGAUGAAACAAUCAUAAAUCUUCCUUGCCGUUCAAUAUGAAUGAAAUCGUUUUGAGUGUCAAGUUCGAUGUUUACAUGAAUUUGAAGAUACACAUCUUUCAGUAUAUUUUUAUUUGAGCAUAUAUUAAUCAAUCAACAUACUGGAGGAAAAAAUAAUCAAGAACUCCAAGACCUUAUGUUCAUAUACUUUAAAACAAACAUGAGACAGUUAUUUCAGCAAAAGAAAAUAAUUUCUACUAAGCAAAGAAAUUUGUGAAGAAUGAUAAUCUUUUUUCAAAAUAAAUAGUGUUCAAGUAACCUUCAGAACAAGUGCCAAAGACUAUGUAUGAAAUCAAAUGGCCACUAUCCAUUACAUGAGAUGCAAAAUCCUUACCAUUUACCAUUAACAGUCAUGAAAUUUGUAUCUAAAGAACUUCACAAAAAGAAUGGAAUAGAUAGUCUCGGUUGUUUGUGCAGUGAUCAAAAUUGAAUCAAAGAUCAUGAAAUUCUCAUCUUUUAACCCUCAAAAUGCAAUACCAUUUACACCUAUCACCACUAAUCAAGUAAACAAGCACAUUCCAUACAUACCAAGUUCCCAAACAUUUAGCAAACAUACAACAACACCAAUGCAGUUUCAGAUUCUCAUCACCAUAAUCAAACAAAGAGCUCACCAAAAGCAGAAAUUAAACAGUGAUGAUAGAGAACCAUUGGGGUUUUGAAACAGAGAAUAAUAAGAAUCCAAAACUUGAGAGUCAUUCUAAGUGAAACAUCAUAGCAGCUAAGUUCCCAAACAAAAACAAAAUAUGGUAAAACGAGAAAGAUAACAACAGAAGCAUUUCAAAUUCCCAUAAGAAGAAAAAAAAACUCCAUUGUUCCUUAAUUCUCAGGAAUCUCAAUCUCACCUUCUUGAAUCUCCUGCUGAAGAUCCUUAGGGUCUUUCCCAUCAACAGUGCAUCCCACAGAGACACACGUUCCAAGAAUCUCCCUCACAGUCCCACUCAGCUCCUUAGCAAUAGAUCUAGGCCUCAUAAUCCUAGCAAUCUCAGUCACAUCAUCGAAAGAGAUGUUACCGUUAUGCUUAAUGUUCUUCACCUUCUUACGGUCUCUCUCUGGCUCCUUCAACGCCUUGAUGACGAGAGCUGCAGCAGAUGGAACCACGGUUACCUUAGCUUGACGAUUCUGAACCGUCAGCUUCACGGUGACACGAAGUCCUUUCCAUUCUUUGGCCGUCUCUUUCGCGAUGUCUUCUCCGAUCUUCUUUGGUGCGAGACCGAGAGGACCGAUCUUUGGAGCUAGAGAACUGGCGGCUCCCACUUCUCCUCCGGUUACACGGACGUACACAUCGACGAUCUGGCUCGGGUCCAACUUCGGCGGCAUGGCUCUGUGUUUUGGAGUUUCGCUUGAUCAAAAAGUGGCAAACGAAAAGGAGGCAGCUGCGAAAUGAGCUUUUAGGGUUUUUUGGAAGAUGAGGAACGUAUUAAGUGGUCGAGAUUAGGGUUUCUUUUGUUCCGAUGCUAAAUUACUAACUUAUCCUUUCAUUUCGAACGGCCCAACCCAAUAUUAUAUGGGCUUAGUAACUUUACUAAUGUAGACCAUUGAAGCCCGUGUAUAAUCUUCGGUACAAUCAAGUCUCGGUUCUAUUACUGGUUUGAUCGCAAAUAUUUGGUUUAGUUAAACCGUUUCUACUUCUCAUCAACCAAAGUUACUGUUAGGAGGAGGAGAGACAAAGGAGUUGAAUCUCGAGGCAAAAUCAAAAUCCAAGCUUUUUCUAGGGUUUUACGGAUCUGCGAUUAUCAUUGUUCUGGGUAUUUCUUUUUUUUAGUGAUUCUCAGAUCUACCAUUUUUCUUAAUUUCGUAAGAAUGUGUUGUUAAGAGAUUUAACAAGUUAGAGACUUUGUUUUUCCCCAGUUCGUUGAAAUGACGAGAAGAAAAUCCACCGUCGUCCUGCCGCAGCCUAUUCGUCGAUCAGCGAGGCUUAUCUCUCUGCAGAAUCGAGAUAGUCAAGUGAAACCCAGGAAAGAUCUGGGCUUUGGCUCGGAACCCACGAAGAAAACUCGUCGGGAAGUCUUAAGAGGUCUAUCGAAGAGAUUAGUAUACUCAUCGGAUAGUCCAAUCGAAGAUUCGAGGUCGAAGAAAUUGAACAUUUCGAAAGAUGGGUUUCCGUCGCUAAGGAGAUCUCUUAGGCUUUCGAGUAGGGAAUGUCCUGAAGUCAACAAAGAGAAGCCUAAGACUGCAUCUACUUCAUCUUCUCGCACGAAAUCGUCGACCACUGUUUCGUCUUCUUGUGCUCUGAGACGUUCUCCUAGGUUUUCAAGUGGAGGAGGAGAAUCUGUGGAUCAAUCUUCUUCUUCCAUUGGGAAGAAAUCAGGUAAUAGUGUUUUGAGUAGCUGUAGUACGAAAUCAAUUUCAUCGGAGAAAGUGAAAGGUGGAGAUGGUUUGAAAUCUAAGGAUAGAAGUAGAAGUCGUGUUCGUCCUAAGACUAAGAAGAUGUUUAGUGGUUGUGAUGAUAAUGAAGAAGAAGAAGAAGAAGUUAGUGUCUGCCUUACUGAGAGGAAAAGGAUGAGAAUUGCAAAGCCGAAUGAGGAAGAAAAUGCUGAAGCAAAAGCUGAUGAAGUGAAGAGAAAAGGAAAGGAGGAAGAAGAAGAAGAAGAUGAAGAAGAAGGAUUGAAGGCAAAGAAUAAGCUUGAGAAAGGAGGAUGGACAGAGGAGUUGGAGUUAGCUUUACAAGGAGCUUAUUUGACGGUGAAGCCAAGUCCUAAUUUCUGGAAAAAAGUUGCUAAGAUGGUUCCUGGAAAAUCUGCGCAGGAAUGUUUUGAUAGAGUGAACUCAGCUCUGAUUACUCCUCGUCAAGCUCAGCCUCGAAGAGCCACAAAAACAAUCUUAUCAACGAUUCCGCAGUUUUCACUUUCUGCAAGCAAACUACUGAAACCCAAUUCACCAAAGACAAAGAUACGACAGCGCAGAAACAAUCUCUCAAAGAAAGUGGUCAGGCAUUUACUGGAGAAGCAAAAUCAUAUGGAUCAAGGUCUUGGAUUUGAUCUCUUCUCAGUUCUUGAGCCUAACACCACAAGCAAUUUUCUCUCAACUCCAAUGGAAAAAGGGCGAAGUCUUCCAAAAAUCCUUGAAAGUCCGGUGCCUUGUUCAAGUAAAGAUCCAACAACUCUCGUUAGCCCUCCAGUACUGAAACAGGUAAAAAACAAGGCAUUGCAUGAGAAGUACAUUGAUCAUCUGCAUAUCAGGGAUGCUAAAAGAAAAGCCGAGUCAACUCGACUGGCUGGGAAAGAGAACAUAAGACCUAUUGAAAUUCAGAAGAAGGAUUCGGUGAGAGCAGCUAAGGAUGCACUUUUCUUUGAUGUACAAGAUGCAAUCCAAAAGCUAAAAGGUCUGGAAGCUGAGAACUCAUCUAGUUCUUCAGAGUUUUGCUAUGAUCAUGUCGAAACGGACGAAGAAGAUUAAAUCUAGUUGUUUCUAGCCAGAUAGAUUUGAUUGUACUAGGGCACAGAGCGUAGAGAUUAGAGUAAGGCAUUACUGUAAAUCUUAGUUUUGUAACCAUGAGACUGAAACUACACAUUGUGUGAGUUUAGUUUAGUCAGAUGUUUGUAUACACAACAAAAUUGAUUCUCUGUUUACUAUAAUGAUCAAAUUUUGGUUCCAUACUUUUUGCAUAUAAAGCUUAACAUAAAUCAUAAGAGAGAAAACUAAAAGCCAAAGGUGUUAAACUUCCUUAGUUGAGUUACAGAAGAAAGUGAUUCUUAAACACAAGAACACUUGAGAAUUAAAACAAGUAGUAAUUUACACAAAAGAAUUUCCUCCUUCAGUGGAAAUUUUUAGUUUACCGUUCCUAAUCAAAAGGUUAGAGAUCCUCAAAAUCUGUUUCCUUCCUUAAGUAAGACCCAUCUUAAAUCCUCCUGACAUAAAGUAUUAAUAGUUAUAUGUUUAGAUAAAAUCCUGAUUAAUAUCAGUCUUCAGAAGAGUAGUCAAUCCGCUCUAUCUCCCAACAAAGCUUAGUCGCAACACUUUCAUGGCAAGGCGAAUAUUCCUGCAAACAACAACAACAACACAAAUUAUAUGGUUUGAACAUGAAUAUUUUUGGAUCCAUUAAAAUGUCAAAUUGUCAAUUGUCACGAACCUCCAGCUUCUUUACAAGCUCCUUGGCAGUAGGUGCAGAAAUUAUGAUCUGGCGUGCGUUUGUACUGAUGAAGCCUUCUUCAACGGCUUUAUCAAUGAAAGAGAGCAAAGAGUUGUAGUAUCCAUCAACAUUGAGCAAACCCACCUGCAGUAAGAACAAUGAUAAUUAGUUUUCUAAUGACUUUGGGUUUAGAGUUAUCUACCAAAGUCUGAAUCUUCAGAAGGAUAAUAGUGAUGGGUCUUUACCGGUUUAUCAUGUAUUCCAAGCUGAGCCCAUGUUAUGACCUCCAAAAGCUCUUCAAGUGUUCCAUAUCCACCUGCAAUUUUUUUAAAGCAGAAGACAUUAUAAUCCAUUAACAUUAUUAUUAUUAAGAGAAAUGGUCAAUUUACAGAACUAUGCUUCAUAUGCAGAAACUGUCCUCUGACUCUAUAUACAUAUGGACAUGAUUACAAAAAAAGCAGGUCCUAUUGAAGAACAAGACUUCCUUAGAUGGGCAAAACACGCAUUUUUCUGAGACUGUUUCAGGUUUUUGUCUUUUAACAUGAAACAGGUAAGAAAAGUAAAACCUUGGUCACAGUUACACUACACACAAGCUAAAUAGAGAAGUAGCUCCCAAGUAAAAGGCAAAGAGAAAAAGAAACAGAGACUGGUCUAAUUUUCAGUGCGAGAUGUCGAUGGGUCAAGGCAUCUAUAGUUAUUAUAUUCAACAUUUUGUCCAUAUAAAAACCCCAGAAAUCAUUACAAAGCAAACCAAUAUACUUUUAAAGUUUUUAACUUGAAACAGUUGCUUUCACACUGCAGCUUGAGUUUGACCAAGAAACAAAAAAAACAUGUUUUUACCAACAUGUUCUUCUUCCAUCUUCUUUGGCAAAAACAGUCAAAGAGUUAAACACUUUUCGAUGCUAUAUUUUAAUGAGCAUUCUUCUUCUUUAUUACUUUGAUAUUCCACAAUUUAAGAAUUUAAAAAGCCUAAAAAAUUAUGCUCAUUAGAUUCUUAAACAAUGCUGUCACUAGACUUGACCAGGUUAUAUCUUACAUAAUCAUUACUUGUUUAGAAAACUGAACUUGUAAGAGAGAAAACAAAAUUAACAUUAAAAACUGAUGGGACCUUGAACAAUUUCAAGAUUUUAAUUAAGAAAUCAAUACUACUAACCUGGUAAAGCAAUAAAAGCAUCAGAGUGUCUAGCCAUCUCUGCUUUUCUUUGAUGCAUAUCUGCAACUGCUCUUACUUCUCCUACUGUUUCACCGGUCAACUGCCAAAAAGAAAGAGCAUCCAAAAUUUAAGAUAUUAACUAACAAUCUUGAAACUUUAAACUUAAUUAAAAGGGGAAAACAAAAAGCAGCUUUAGACUGUUCUAUGACCAGAGGCAAUGAUGGCAUUGUAAGCAAAUUGGCUUAUUUUAAAUUCAUUGCAAGACUUUAGUUAAGAAGCUCUUCAUCUUAUUUUUUUCUCAAAAUAAAACUUUCUCUUUUGGUUUCAAUAAAAGAGAUGAAAGUUAAGGCAAAGAGAGAAAUUAAAGCAAGAAUACCUCUCUAGGCAUGAGUGUCUUGGGAAUAACUCUGUGGUCAAAUAACAACAAAGAUAAGAAAAAAGACUUAUUAAGACAAAUAACUCUGUGCUCAAAUCGUCAUUGUUUCCUUAAAUCUAUGGUCAAGUGAUUAGAUGAAGAGUUACCCAAUAACAUGGCGACCACCAUCAUGAACAGCUUGCGAAACCAAACCCAUCAAACCUAUGCUUCCACCUCCAUAGACUAGAUCAAUGUUCCUUAAAACCUGUGAUAGUAAACGAAACAGAGUAAAUAAACCAUCUUUAUCACUACAGAUAGUUUGAGAAAUUAGCUAUGAAAAGAAAUCAAAACCAAAGAUACUCUAUUUGUACUAUCAAAUUAGAUACAAACAUUCCCAUGCGGAAUUUGUGGGCUCCAAAUCAUAAAAGAUGAAUAUGAUAAAAGGGAAAAAAAGAAAGAAUCUUUUUGAGUGAUCAAAAUUACAUAUUUAAGAGCGUUUUUCAAAGUAGAAAACAGAGGAAAUGCUCUGCAUUUGCAAAAAAAAAAACUCAGAAACAUAUUCACAAACAUCUGGUGAACAUAAAACUGUAAGAACUCAAGAAACAGAGUAAUAACUACACAUAGAAAAAUCCAGAGGUGUAUGUAAUAAUACCAAUUCGUUGCCUAGAUCCACAGCAGCAUCUUGGUAACUACUCUUCUUGCCUUGGCUGCUUCCACAAAACACACAGAUUCUUCCAAACUUUGACUUUUGCAUGGUUUCAUUGUUGACCUCCAUUGGUUACGAUGAGAGCUCAAGCUAUGAAAAAAUCUAAACUUUUUACCCGAAAAAAAACAAAACAAAACAAGAAGCUUUGGUCCUUUGUAUUUUUGGUAAUGAAAUCUCUCAAUUGGGUUUUGCUUCCUUAAAGAACAUAAACGACAGGUACAAAACGUACAAGUGUCAAAGAAGAAGAAGAAGUUAAACCAAAAGAAAAAGCUCGAAACUUUUCUUUGCCUACUAAAAUGCUUUCGAGAGUUGGGGAUUGUUGUAUUAAUAUAUAGUUAGAGAGUGCGUUUUCUCGUCAUGCUCUUGGAAAAAAAUUUCAUUUUUGGGAUUUUUCACACGUGAGAGAUUGAAGCAUGCGCGUCGCAGCCACCCGCACAUACACUUCAUGUUGGCACGCGUGGACCACUUCUUUGUGUUUUCCUCUAUUUGUCUUCUUUGUGCUUCCACAUUUUCGUUUAUUUUUCUAUAUUGAACUAUACACUUAUGAAUGUAUUUCUAUAACUUUCUAUUUUCUACUUACUAACUCCAAAGACUUUGGAACCUAAAAAUAAAAUUCAAAAUGGUAUGGAUGUUUAAUUGAGAGUUUAUGGGAAAUUAGUGUAAGCAAUCUCAGAACAAGAAAGAUUCAAGCUUUCUUGACAUAGAUAAAUAACCUAAAUAAUCAUAAUAUUGACGAAAUUUCUAUAUUAUGAAUUUCAAGAUUUUUACAACUCCAACUUGACGAAAAUUAGAGAUUGAUGAUAUUGAAUCAAACUCCUUUUCUUUUUACUAAAUUUAUUGGAUAUAACCAUAUACAUUAAUAAUCAUAAUAUUUUAAAGAAGAUUACAUAUUGAAAAUGAAAUAUCCCUAAAAAAUGUUUCAUAAUGAUUUUAAUAUAUGUCGUGCGAAAGAUAAUGGGAAGUGACAAAGAAAACAUCUUUAGAUUAAAGAAAUUGAUUUAGAUAUAAAGCUACCUCGCUUUUUGAUUCCCUUUUUGAAGAACAGAACAAAAAUUUCAUUUUCGACAAUGCAAAUAAAAACAUUUCAUUGUCAACAUAUAUCUGAACAUAUAAGAUGGGUCCAAACAUAAUUUACUUUUACCUCUCUCUAUUCUGUAAUAUUUAAAUGAAAGUGUGAUCAAAUUAGUGAUGAGAUACACAGACAUGUACCAUAUUCAUAUAAAAAUUUAUACUUAUAAAUGAUGAUGUCUGGGUUAUGGAGCAAUGUGCCAUUGAUGAUUGAAAUAAGGAACACAAGAUGAGUAGUUAUGGCUUUUAUUAUCAAUGUACUAGUAUCAUUUACACUCCCUAUGAAGACAACCCUCCUCCUAUCUUGUUCUAAGCAUAUACCAAAAUCAUUUAUUUUGAAUAUUUACUCCACUUACUUUACUUUUUGUUUGGUGCUUUUAUAAUAAUGUUUUUGUAGAGAUAUUAAAAGCUCUCGCUUUACCCAUAUCCCUGUGCAUUUGGAUAAUGGAUAUCUUACUCAUGGCCGUUUGUUUUAGUAAAAAUUUAUUCAUACAUAGUUGUUGUUAACGUAAAAGAAUAUGAUUACAUCUAUUACGAAUAAUCCAACACAAUGAUAGACUAUAAGGAUCCAAUGUGACAACAAAUGAGGGUACUUCAAUGUAGUCAAUGUAUGUAAAAGGUUGAUUUUGCUUGGCUUGGAAGCAAUGAAUUUGAAUUAUCUUUAGCUAGUAGCAAGUUCGUUCAAAUGAUGAGAUAGAAACAUGAAGCCAUAUUGACAUCGUUUUCCAUGAGCACGUGAAAACAAGUACACAAGUCAUGUUCAAUAUAUAAAAGGAAAAGAAUAAGCAAAUUUAGGGUUUCAUGAUUUAUUUUUUUCAUCGUUAGUACAUGUAAAUUGGCGAGGAAGGAGGCCAUUUUUUUCCCUUUGGACUUUGAUGAAUAAUUUGAUAUAUUUGCAUACUGAUGCACCUCGUUAUGAGACGAAUUCACUCCACAAGACACAAGCAUUCUAUUACAUAGGAAAAUUUGAUUAUGAAAUUGUAGACUCCACAUGCUAUUAAGUUAUUAAAUUAUCUUAUGGUACUGUAUUAGUAUGGAACUGCAGCUAGCUGUUUUUACUCCGUAUACCGUAUGCUACGAAAUUACUUUCUUCCAUAUGGACAUUAGACAGUCACCCCAUACUCUCAUACUUAAUUGGACAAAUAUAUAAUAAGUGUGUGUGAAAUUAAACUAGAAAAUUGCAAUCCCAAGAACUCAGUGCAAGCUGCCCUAUCAGAUUUAAGUAUAUAUUUUGGGUUAAUUUAGAGAUUAUAAACAAAUAAUUACUUCUUGAAACCAAUGUGUAUUUGUAUCUGCAUGCUUGCAUGCGCAUUUAACUCUUUUGUUUUGUUUUUUUACUCCACUCCACAUUCCUCUUGGGUUUCUAACUUUCAAACCUAUUUUAUAAUAUUAUUAUAUUCGACUAUGAUGCUAAUAAAACCACAUACUAAUUAGUUCAUUCUUGAUAUAUUCAACAUUCAUUUUUCAAAGAUCUCAAAUGGUUAUGACUUGUGGUUAUAUAUAUACCAACAAUGGAUAACCAAAAGUAAACCUCGUUUGCUUUUGAUCUUAUAACAAUAAUUCUCUUUAGAUGCAAGAGAAUUAUAUUAUUCGGUUAAAAGUUAUUUAUAUUCACGAUACUGUUAAACGGACCUAAAUUCAGGUUUGUUAACAAAUUUAACAUGUGUAUGUUAUUUUUAAGAGUAAAUUAAAAUUGAAACAAUAAAAGGUAAAAAACUCCUAAUAUAAUUCAAUUUUAUGUAUAUUAUAUGUGAUUAAAUAAGUUAUAUAUCCAUUUGAUAGAUGCAUUUAUGGAUGUGUGUGCGCCGAAUACAGAUGAAGCAGAAGAGCAGUGAUGAAAAGGCUCCUCGCUUUCUAAUUCUAUCAGACAGAUAACUUUAUUUUAAUUGUUUUUUGGUUAGAAAUUUUUGAUUCCCAACAAAUCAUAUUUAAUUUGAUGUUAAUGAACGAGCCAAAUGACGACCAUAUCAACUGCAGCUGUAGUACUAACAAGGGCCCCAACUUGCAAUUACGACCGGCCAAAAUCUGCCUUGAGAGUACCAUAUUCAUUAUGGUAUUUACAUAUUAAUUUAGACAAAUUUUAGAUUAAACCAUUUUCAGAAUCUAUCUUAAAAUCUAUAAAGAUAGUGUGUGACUUUGUUUAAUACUCGUAACAUUACUCACCUCUAUAACAUUACUCAACCUUAAUAAUAUACGUCAUAUCUAUAACAUACGUGUAUAGGGUCAUGGUGGUUGAUUGAUAUACGAAGACAAAACGAAAAAAGAGUUAGUAAAAGGCCUAACUUGUAGGCAGGAAGAGUGGUGGAAGUAUGAUGGUGAAAGAGCAAAGUGACAUUUAUGUUCUUGUGUUCUUUAUUUUUGAGACAUAAUCUUCCAUUUCUUCACUUCAAUGUUUCUCUUCUCUGCUUUCGGUCAUUGCUAUGCCCCAUUUGUUCUUACCUUUUCGUUCUACCAAUAAUAUAAAUAUUCUCUUUUUUCACCUAAUGACGUCGAAGAUACCAUCGUCACGUGACAUCCGCACACCAUAUGUAUUGACAUUGGUAUUAGUGUUGAAAAUUAGAAGGGGUGUCAAUGGGCCGUGCUUGAAGAAUAUAGUCCGAAUCAAUCUCAGAGUUUAGGCCCAUUUCAAUCUCUUAGCGGUAUAAUCCAUCAUUGUACUAGCGUUUAGGCCCAUUUAAUAAAAUUGGGAUAUAUAAUACGGAUUACACCAAACUAUAAAGUUUUGAAUCCCAGAGCAUAUGCACUGGGUUCAUAUGAGAACUGACAAUACAACCUCACACAAUCAAACCCUUCCAGAAAAUUUCUUGUUCCAUAUCGAAAUUUGUUAAGUUUUAGGAAAACUGGUUUUCAGAACAUAAGAAGAUCACGAACAUCAAAUAAAACAGACUGCUACAGUCACUCUCAUAUGCCAAAAAGCCAAAUUGUGUCAAAAUACCAACAAAAAAGACAAGAAGAAAAUGCAACUUCAACUACAACCAAUCUCGCAGGAUUCGAACAGACAAGAAACAUGGGUUCUCUGCUUUAAUCUAAUUGUUAUCUUUCUCAAAAAAAGACCAUUCCUUAACGACCUUCAUGCAUCAAAGGCGGAUAAAGCCUAGCGUGCACCAGCAGUGAGUUUUAGUUACUGUCUGAAACCGCCAUUUUCCACUAACCCUAUAUGCUUCAAAGAACCUGUUACAUUCGAGAUUCAACUGUCUUAAGCAAGGCAAUAUAUGAUUCAGAAUGGAAAUAGCAGAACAUGGCUGAGAAUUGCGAUUCUUACCCUCCAGAAUUUGCAUUUUUUGAGAAUAUGAAAGAGGUGUGACCGCUCAAAAUUGGCCUCUUGGUGGCCUAGCCUCAGCCUCUGAGACUCUUAUUUGUCUUCCAUCCAAAUCCUUUAGGAAAGUAACACAUGAGUUAGAUAUUUGAUAUUUACAGUAAGAAGUACCAAUCGAAUAAAUUAUUAUGCAAAGAAGAGAAGUGAUGAUACUUACUGCUCCAUUCAAGGAAUUGAUCGCCUUCUGAACCUCUUGGGAAGAGCUAAGUGUCACAAAUCCAAAACCCUUGGAUCUACCGCUGUCCCUGUCGUAGAUAACCCUAGCUUCAACUACCUUUCCUUGCUCGUUAAACAAGUUCUCAAGUGCCAUGUCAUCAACACCCCAAGAAAGGUUGCCCACGUAGAGACGGUUUCCUGAACCUGAGCCCGAACCGGACCCUGACCCCGAACCAUAACUGGAACGUUGAGACCCUCCGUAACCACCACCACUACGUUGAGAACCGUAUCCACCACCACGCUCGGAACCAUAACCACCACCACGCUCGGAACCAUAACCACCACCACGCUCGGAACCGUAACCUCCACCACGCUCAGAACCGUAACCUCCACUUCUUGGUCCUCUGGAGAAGGAUUCCUCUCUUUUAGGUGGAGGAGGGCCAGCAUUGACUCUCAAAGGUCUGCCUUCAAAUUCCUGAAAUGUUAAAAAUCAACAGGAUUAAUGAAAACAGCCAGUGUAGUAAUGUAAGAAAUCCAAAAGACAAGCUUGAAGGUAUGAACAACAAGACAAUGUGACAAAAACAAAUGUACAAAUCUAAAUCGGCUACUUAUAUCCCAAAUGAGAAACACGAACAACCUAGAAGAAGAUGCAUCUUAUCAGCAGAAUAUAAAACAACAUCAACCACGAAGUCUCCACAAACCAAACAGAAGAUAAACAACACUAUUUCUCUAUCUCAAACGUUCAUACAAUCCAAUUCAUGGAAUUCCACAUUACACACAAGCCAAGAACAAGAAACAAUACAAGCAACUCAAUAAACAAACAAGUCCACACAAAACUCUUAUCAACAAGUAAAGACACAGUAGCGAACACAAGUAUCUGCUUACAUAGCCAUUGAACUGUUGAGCUGCUGCUUCAACUUCCGCUGCGGUUGACAUUGUCACAAAUCCGAAACCCCUGCUCCGGCCAGUCACUUUGUCAUAGAUAACCUACAAUAUCAAACUCAUUUCAUCACAAAUGAAAACAAUCUCAAACCUUUAGCUAUGUUCUCACUUUAACUCUACUCAAAACGAUUCAAACCCAAUUAAGAAAGAUAAUUAAUCCAAAUCUGAAAACAGAAACCUAAAUUUAUCUUACCUCAACCAUCUCAACAUUUCCAGCGCUCUCAAAGAGCUGAGCAAGCUGAGCGCUAUCAACGUUAAAAGAAAGGUUACCAACAAAGAGCUUAAGGUCAGGAGAGAAGGAGUUACGCUCCACAGGCGCUGAAUCGUCACCGUCAGCGAACAUAUCAUCUUCCUCCACCUCAAAAUCCGAAGAUACAGCAACGUUUCUAACGAAACGCGACGGGUACUCGGCGGGGGAUGAGCAUUUGAGGGCGGAGGAAGCGAAGAUAGAGACGAGGUGGUCGGAGUGAAGUUUGAAGGAGAGGGAAGGAGGUAAGACGGAGACGGAAGCGGGUCUGGAGACGCAGAGAGGAAGGGAUUUAGGAUUGAAAGCAGAGAGGGAAGAAGCAGAGGCAGACAUGGCUAAAGCUUGAGAGAAUUUUGCUCUCGAGGCUAAAGCUUUGAGAAGCUGGUGGUGAAGAGAUAAGGUUUAAGGGUUCUGC
rnacentral:lncRNA from 1 species